AUCAUUCUGUGACCUCUGCCACAUGAUAAAUGGAUGAGAUAUGGACAGUCAAGUUCCACGCUUCUUUCAAGGGCAGUAAAUUCUUUCUACUGUGGCACAUGAAAACCAUCAGCUUCUGUGACAUAUUACUGCGUGCUUCUCCCAUAUUGAUUCUAAUUGUAUCUGUGUGCUUUUCUGAAGAUGUAUUAAUACAAUACAAUUAAUUAACACUUGGUGCAUAUGUAAUGGAGGUGUUCUGCUCAGGAUAAUGAGGUUUCUCUUAAGCAUAAUGUUUUCUAUUAAAUACUUAGUUUGUUCAAGAGACAUUGCCUGGAGUGUAGUUAACUGACGAUUAGUUUGAAUUACCAAAUGAUAAUUUCAUGAGAACAUUUUUGAUGCUGAUAUGCACUAAAUGUUUGGUGAAAAACUGUUAGAAAGAAAAGCAAUCAGUUCUUUAACAAAUUCUGCCAGCUGGCUGCAAUAUAACACUAUUUAAAACUAAGGGAAUUACAUGAAAUAAAUAGUACCAUUAAUAUCCUUUUCUCUUAAAUCUAGAUUUUGCUGUUCCAAUAAAGUUCCAAUUGUAUCAGAGUACAUUUUUAUAUUUAACUAAUGUUGUGCACAUAAUUUGACGGAAUGCCCUCAGUGAACCAUUUGAGAAUUAACUUGAAACCUGUUUGUUUCAAUGCCAUACUAGUUAAUACUGUGAUUUAAUUUACCAUCAGAAUUAAGAACAUUACAAUGAAGUAACUGUUAUGAUAGUGUAUAUAGGGCUAAGUACACUCAAUUUAUCUUUAUACAUGCUACAUUCUACCUGGGAUUCCCAGGGACUC